rnacentral:rRNA from 1 species
CUGCUCCAGUGACUCAAUUCACGGCCGCGGUAUCCUAACCGUGCGAAGGUAGCGUAAUCACUUGUUCUUUAAAUCAGGACUAGUAUGAACGGCAUCACGAAGGUUAUACUGUCUCCUUUUUCCAAUCAGUGAAACUAAUUUCCCCGUGAAGAAGCGGGGAUAGAACUAUAAGACGAGAAGACCCUAUGGAGCUUCAAACGACACAACAAAUGCUAAACUCCUUAAAAAUUUCAGAACCCCAACUCACUAUAGCACUAUGAUUGUCAGUUUUAGGUUGGGGUGACCGCGGAGCAAAACACAACCUCCACAUUGAAAGAAUUCCAUUCUAAGCCAAGAACCACAACUCAAAGCAUCAAUACACUGACAUAAUUGACCCAAUACACUUGAACAACGAACCAAGUUACCCUAGGGAUAACAGCGCAAUCUACUUCAAGAGCCCCUAUCGACAAGUAGGUUUACGACCUCGAUGUUGGAUCAGGGUCUCCCAGUGGUGCAGCCGCUACUAAAGGUUCGUUUGUUCAACGAUUAAUACCCUACGUGAUCUGAGU